UACGGAAGGCAGCAGUGGGGAAUAUUGCACAAUGGGCGAAAGCCUGAUGCAGCUAUGCCGCGUGUAUGAAGAAGGCCUUAGGGUUGUAAAGUACUUUCAUCGGGGAGGAAAAACAAAACUAAUAAUUUUAUUUCUUGACGUUACCCGAAAAAGAAGCACCGGCUAACUCCGUGCCAGCAGCCGCGGUAAUACGGAGGGUGCUAGCGUUAAUCAGAAUUACUGGGCGUAAAGAGCACGUAGGUUGGUUUUUUAAGUCAGAUGUGAAAUCCCUGGGCUUAACCUAGGAACUGCAUUUUGAAACUGAAAUACUAGAGUAUCGUAGAGGGAGGUAGAAUUCUAGGUGUAGCGGUGAAAUGCGUAGAUAUCUGGAGGAAUACCUGUGGCGAAAGCGGCCUCCUAAACGAAUACUGACACUGAGGUGCGAAAGCGUGGGGAGCAAACAGGAUUAGAUACC
rnacentral:rRNA from 1 species